rnacentral:rRNA from 1 species
UACGGAGGGGGCUAGCGUUGUUCGGAAUUACUGGGCGUAAAGCGCGCGUAGGCGGCUUUGUAAGUCAGAGGUGAAAUCCCGGGGCUCAACUCCGGAACUGCCUUUGAAACUGCAUCGCUUGAAUCCGGGAGAGGUGAGUGGAAUUCCGAGUGUAGAGGUGAAAUUCGUAGAUAUUCGGAAGAACACCAGUGGCGAAGGCGGCUCACUGGACCGGCAUUGACGCUGAGGUGCGAAAGCGUGGGGAGCAAACAGGGAGUUAAGAAACCCGAUGAGAACCGU